rnacentral:lncRNA from 1 species
CUUUAAGGGUUUUUAAGUAGAGGGUGGGUUUGGUGUCAUUCAUGGGCUCUUUGCAAAACCUGUCAAGGGUCUGAUUUAGGACAGCAGCAUUGUACACAGGGGAGAGAAAACAUACAUAUAUACCAAGGAAGUAUCACAAAAAGAGAUCAUACCAGCAAGAACGGCCAUAAUCAGAACUUUACAGCCCCUUCAAGGAUUUGCUGUCCUUAGGUGCUUCCAAUGAGCCUCGCACUGUGCUAAAUUCAUUACAUUAUACCUUUAAUCUUCUCUGCUCCUCCAAAGAGUACCAUCCCCAUCUAGCAGAUGAGGAAACCGAGCAUCAUUGUGCACCUGCUGUAAUUUCACACAGCUAGCAAGUGGUCAAACCAGCAUUUCACCCUGGGGUCUGCCCCCUGCUAAAACAUGGGUUCAAAAACAAUGCGCAUGGUGCCAGUUCUGAACAAGGGGAGCAUUCAUUUCACAUUCAGCAGACUCUUCUGAAUCCUUGUCUCUGGCCUGAUAAUCUCUUGUCCUUAAGAUAUUUGCAGAGUCAAACGGGGUCCUUGGAGCAUCUAAUGGACUUGACACACUUAUAUUUAUACAUUCAUAUGUUUUUAGCUUGCCAGGGAAACCCAAACAACAGCUCAGCAUCUGAUUUCCCUGGUCUUUUCUUCACUGGAUGUUCUAGUUAUGCCUUAGGGAUCACAGCAUGGAAAAGCCAUACAAAGGGUAGAUGAGAGGCCAGGAAUUUUCCCUGACCAUAACCCUCUUCUGUUUCAGGUUCUAUAAAAAAGGCAACUCGAGAAAGAAAAUCACUUCUAACAUCAUUUGCUGCUUUCCAAAAAUAUGAAUUCUUAUGAAUCAGAUGUGUGGCACAAUUGUGGCACACCACACAAUUUACCACUUCAAGGGGGUCCCUGAAGUUCCACUUUCCUCCUGGCUUUUUGGCCAUUUUAUUGCUCACUAACAUCUCCAUCAAAAGGUGACUGGGGUUGGGGGCGCUGGGUGUGGGGAGGAGAGGAAGGAAACUAGAAUCAGCAAUUUCCAUUACUUAUUAGCAACUCUGGUAAAUAGGUUUAGUGGGGGAAAUGCUGAAAAUCAGUUAUUUGGAUUAUCUAAACCUGUCAACCAUCCAUGUUACACCCUCUUCCCAUUAGCACAGACUCAUGAGAAUUGGCCAUAAUUGCAUUUGCAGGGAUGGCAACUGAAACAAGAUUGUUUUCAAUGAUUAUGUGGUUAAGAUUAAACUAAGUUUUUUUCUCUUUCAAAUGGCGUAUCCUAACCGGGCAUUUUGAGGAAAGAGAUAUUUCCUAUUGUGUUCUCACCAGUUACACAUCUACACAUCUUUAGGAUGAGAUAGUUAAUCUAGAUAGACCAAGACAAUUUCCUUGAAACUGAAAGGGCACUUUAUCUUUUGUUUUGGUCUGGUAAUAGAAUAGUUUAUUUGGGAUGUCUAGGUAGCAAAAAAAGGGCAUAAUGUAAUCAAUAA